UUUAAUGUGGCAGAAUAAUGUGUAAAAUUUAAAAUUUUAUUAUGAGAUUUAUCUUCGUUAAAU
rnacentral:tRNA from 1 species